rfam:Metarhizium acridum CQMa 102 unplaced genomic scaffold Scf_009, whole genome shotgun sequence.
ACAUACGACCAUAGCCGUUAGCAAAGUUCAGGGCCUCGUCCGAUCCCCCACGACAACCUAACGAGCGCCGGAUUAGUAGUUGGGUCGGUGACGACCAGCGAAUACCCGGUGUUGUAUGUU